CGAAGAUUGACACUCGUAUGACCUAAAUAAAGUUCCCGCGAAGGGCGGGGUUAGACGGGCCUCGGCCUCCGGACCAUCCUUGAGCGGCAGGCGGGCGGUGGUCAAGGAUGUUUCCAAGUGCCAUGUUUGCAUGGAAUAGCAACAUCAUUUGGUCCAUGAUGUGCAAACCUUUAAUAUUCCUUCGUACCUACCUGGUUGCCAUUACCUUGGAGGCUGGCAAUUUUUUUUUGUACUUUGUACAAAGAAGUUGCGCACCUGAAUUCUCCCCGACUUGAAUGGCAGGUUAAAUUGUUGUGGGACGUGCAAUAAUCCCAAUUAAUUUCCCCCAAGUUAAUAUGAAGUACAGCCACACACCAAUAUUUAGUGGUUUGCACAAUUAUAAACAUACAUGUACAAAGCCUGGGCUAUUGCUUCAUCCCUCGUUUCCAAAAAAAAUGCUUUCACAAUUUAUGUUGAAGUCAAUUUACAAAUUUCCAACACCGGUUGUGAAGUGAUCUCUGGCCACCCGUUGCCACAGUCACUGCUCUUCAAUACAUCUGCCCCAAGGGCUGGAAAUUAAUUUAUCUCUCCUCUUUUCACUGUAUGUAUGGCACGACCCAGUUCCAGCGAAAGGUCAUUGAACUAAAGCGUUAUUCCUGUCUCCGCAGAGGCUGCCUCACCUGGUCAUUAUUUGCAGCAUUUUAGUUUGUUUCCCUCUAUCUUGCUGUUUCCCGUCUCCCUCUCAUUGUACUUUCCAAAACUACAUUACCGAUCAAGCUUCAGGCUUUUCCAAAUUUGUCCAAUCAUGAAACAGGACUUGGAACUGAGUAAAGUCCGAUCUUGUGUUUCUUGUGCUCCAGAAUGUGUUCACGGUUUUGAAAUUCAUCAUUUCAGCAGAAUCCAGACACAAGGAACUUUGUGCCCAGGCCAAAGCUUCAGAUAAUGUAAGUCUCUGUGGAUUUGUGUGCGUGUUCUCAUUACUGAACUACAUUGAUGUUGCCCUGUGGGCUCCGAGUGGAUUUAAUAGAAACCUAUGCAUUACAGCUUUCCAAAUAUGAGAGAAAUGCCAAUAAAGGAUUUCAUAUUAAAAAGGAACGCUCA